ACGAACGCUGGCGGCAUGCCUAAUACAUGCAAGUCGAACGAGAUCUUCGGAUCUAGUGGCGCACGGGUGCGUAACGCGUGGGAAUCUGCCCUUGGGUUCGGAAUAACAGUUGGAAACGACUGCUAAUACCGGAUGAUGACGAAAGUCCAAAGAUUUAUCGCCCAAGGAUGAGCCCGCGUAGGAUUAGCUAGUUGGUGGGGUAAAGGCCUACCAAGGCGACGAUCCUUAGCUGGUCUGAGAGGAUGAUCAGCCACACUGGGACUGAGACACGGCCCAGACUCCUACGGGAGGCAGCAGUAGGGAAUAUUGGACAAUGGGGGCAACCCUGAUCCAGCAAUGCCGCGUGAGUGAUGAAGGCCUUAGGGUUGUAAAGCUCUUUUACCCGGGAUGAUAAUGACAGUACCGGGAGAAUAAGCCCCGGCUAACUCCGU
rnacentral:rRNA from 1 species